UACGGAGGGUGCAAGCGUUAUCCGGAUUUAUUGGGCUUAAAGGGUCCGUAGGCGGAUCUGUAAGUCAGUGGUGAAAUCUCACAGCUUAACUGUGAAACUGCCAUUGAUACUGCAGGUCUUGAGUGUUAUUGAAGUAGCUGGAAUAAGUAGUGUAGCGGUGAAAUGCAUAGAUAUUACGUAGAACACCAAUUGCGAAGGCAGGUUACUAAGCAACAACUGACGCUGAUGGACGAAAGCGUGGGGAGCGAACAGG
rnacentral:rRNA from 1 species